UCUCCCUUGUGCCACCCAAAUUGUCUCACACCUUUUCUCAUCGAACACAAUCAAUUUGUACAUGAGAAAAUUAGAAAAUAAUCCUUCUUUUAUCAUCUAUUAUGGAUAGGAAUUGAUUGGUUUUGAUUUGAAUUCAAAUUGAUUUGAAUUUUAACUUAAAACCUUAUCCAUAUCCUUCCACACGUUGGUUAUUUUUGAAGGGGCUCAUUAUGUGCGAGAAAAGGAAGUCUUUUCAAUUGAUUUUCAUACCCAAUUUUCUCUAGUAAGUCUCUCUUUAAGUUAGAUAAAGGUAAGAAAAAGUUAGAGU
rnacentral:lncRNA from 1 species